UAAGGGAGACCUAAUUCGGGUAUAAGACGAAAAAAAAGUAGUCCCUACCAAGAAUCAAUCCCAAAAGGUCGGAACGAGGUAUGAGGCUUUCAAACUAGGUUCUGGGUUCAUAAAAGACCUGAAUCAGGAACAAGGGCUAUUAGCUCAGGUGGUUAGAGCGCACCCCUGAUAAGGGUGAGGUCCCUGGUUCGAGUCCAGGAUGGCCCACCUGCACAGGUGGCAAAAACAAGAGAAGCGAGGAAUCAGCACCUUAUCUUACUGACAUAGUAAGAGAGAAUGCUGGCUCUGAGUAAAGAGUCCAGAGGAACCUUGAAAACUGCAUAGAGCUAGGUGAAAAAGCCAAAAAAGAAGACCGCAAG
rnacentral:tRNA from 1 species